rnacentral:rRNA from 1 species
CGGGUGAGUAAUACGUCGGAACGUGUCUUCUAGUGGGGGAUAACUGCCCGAAAGGGCAGCUAAUACCGCAUGAGACCUGAGGGUGAAAGCGGGGGAUCGCAAGACCUCGCGCUGGAAGAGCGGCCGAUGUCCGAUUAGCUAGUUGGUGAGGUAAAGGCUCACCAAGGCGACGAUCGGUAGCUGGUCUGAGAGGACGACCAGCCACACUGGGACUGAGACACGGCCCAG